rnacentral:SRP_RNA from 1 species
GCCAGGUGUGGUGGUGUGCACCUGUAAUCCCAGCUACUCAGGAGGCUGAGGCAGGAGAAUCACUUGAACCUGGGAGGCAGGGUUGCAGUGAGCCAAGAUCGUGCUACUGUAUUCCAGCCUGGGUGAUACAGUGAGACUCUGUCUCAA